AUAUGACCAAGGAUGAAUAGAGAGAAAAAGAAAAGAAAGAAAGGAGAGAGGGGAGGAAGCAGCCGUCGUCUCGUGUUCCAAAAUUAAGCAUUACAGCCUUCAGCAAAGACCACGCUUCUGCAACUCCCGCAAACGCGAACAAUAUCCAUUCAUUGAGGUUUUCUACGAUCGGAAGCAGGAACCUGACCAGGGAAAUGAUAUAAUUACUUCCUCUGUCAAGGCUUUGCCUUUUGAAGAUGAUGCAAGUCUGGAUGGAUUUAAAAAGUUCUUCAAGCGACACGGGAUCCAGACAUCUGCAUCAACCUCUGAUUAGUCCCAUUGAGAUCCUGAAGCAUCCUAGCCUCCGCAAUUCCAACAAUCAUGAGUGCUGCCAUUGUCCUAGCCCCUGCAGAAGACUCUUUGACCGUCUCGUCAGUCUCUUUCCCUAAUCCAUUGGUGUCGAGAAUCAGCUCCAGUGCAGCUUUUGAGGCCUAAUCAAGUGCUGGAUUUUAGACAAUUCAUGUUUAGAUGAUUAAAUAUAUGAACAUUCUUACAGCUUUCCAAUAGUAGCAUACAAUGAAUUAUGUUGGUGAUGUUAAAUUAAAAAGUGCACUGAAGGUAGAAACUCACUAAAAACUGUUGCCAGUUUGGUUC